AUUGAACGCUGGCGGCAGGCCUAACACAUGCAAGUCGAACGAGUGGCGGACGGGUGAGUAAUGUCUGGGAAACUGCCUGAUGGAGGGGGAAAACCACUGGAAACGGUAGCUAAUACCGGAUUCUCUCCGAUGUGGCUAGAUGGGAUUGGCUUGUUGGGGGGGUAACGGCUCACCAAGGCGACGAUCCCUAGCUGGUCUGAGAGGAUGACGAGCCACACGGGAACUAGGACACGGUCCAGACUCCUACGGGAGGAAGCAGUGGGAAAUAUUGCACAAUGGGCGCAAGCCUGAUGCAGCCAUGCCGCGGGUAUGAAGAGGGCCUUCGGGUUGUAAAGUACUUUCAGCGGGGAGGCGUUACCCGCAGAAGAAGCACCGGCUAACUCCGUGCCAGCAGCCGCGGUAAUUC
rnacentral:rRNA from 1 species